CCGCACUACACAACUCACCGGCACCACCGGCACCAGCACCACCGGCCCUGGCACCACCGGCCGCACUACACAACUCACCAGCACCACCGCCAAACCCCAACCCCCCAUCACAACUAGUAGUAUCACCACCACCACCAUCACCAAAACCACCACACUGGUAGACGAAGGACACGAGUCCAAGGCUCUGAGCUCAGGAAGUAUUGCAGCCAUUGUAUGUGUGUUCAUCAUCAUCGUCACCUUAGUGUUAGUUGGGCUGUACCACUACAAGAUCCGACGUACAUCCUACGGCCCUCUUCUGGAAAACAAUGAACGCAGCACGUUGGGAAACUUCAGCAACCCCAUGUAUGACCCUUGAAUCUUACCUUUUGACCUCCGACUCCAGAAGUGACCCCCUAAACCGAAAGUCCUCAGUUUGCAUAAGUAGACAUUCUGAUCAGUGUGUUUGUACUGUGACAAAAGUCACACAUUUCAUAACUGUGACAUGCAGCCUGAUCUCUUGAUUGCAAAAUGCAAAACAAAUGUGAUGUUUCUAUUGAUCUUUGUUCAGGUAGCCUUGUUUUUUAUUGCAAUAGGUACAGUUAACUUGGCAAUAAGUUGCAGUUUUUGCUCAGGUAGCUUUGCAAACAGCUCUGGCUGCAUAGACACAGUUCUUAAUCAUCUGAACUGAUUAUUUGAACUCAAUCAGAAUGUUUUUCACAGUAAAUAGGGAUACAAAAUUCUACUCUACGAAUUUGUAAAAAGAAUGUCAAUAAAUGAGGAAGAUAUGACAGUGACAAUUUUCCGCUGUCCGGAAGUAGCAGUGGAAACUGUGUGACAUACGAAGUUACGAAAGGCCUGAAUUUAAGCAUGAAGUUAAAACAAUAUAAAUGAACAUCAUGGCACAAAAUAUUUUUAUUUAUCAUGGACUCUUCCUUUAAGUACCCGCUGAGAUACUUUUUCCUUAGUUAAACUGGGAAAUGAUGAAAUAUCUGUCACAAAAGUCGAUAAAUGUUCAGAUUUUCAUGUAGCUGGAUAGACUAAGUUCAAAGCUUAGACAGCACUGAUCUACAAGUGACCUGCUUUUACAUGUAUGUUUAGAUUCUGUAGAUAAGGAGGAGGUGUACCAUUUGGAGGAAAUGGAAAUUCUGAGAAAGCACUGAAAAGGACUGUGAUGACACAUAACUUUUAGCAAGUGGUUUGACAGCGAGUGGAGGUAUGGAAAUAACCUUUGAAAGACAAACAAGAAUAAAAAAAAGGAAAAAAUGCAUCAAAGCAUCUUAAAUGAUCCUGAAUCUUUUCUAUUACUUUUAUCAGAACCAAUAAUUAGGACCAUUUCAACUCCGAGCAGAAAAGUAGGUGCUAAUACUUUCAAGACUUUUGAGGAUUUGUCCUGAAAGCUGUGUAGUACAGACAUGUUUAGGCAACACAGAGGGGCAACGUCAGCGUUAGUAGCAGAAACUACGAUCUAGAAAGGAGACUAUAACUUGAGGAAAGUGGUUGUGGUUUCAUUCAUUCAUUUUCAAAUGGAGUGAUUCUCCAUCCAAGGAUUUACAUCACAUGCAGUCCUUUCAAAUGAAUACUUCAACUUUCAAAUGACCAUUUGUAUAUCAAAUGCUCAUCCGGCGUUACGUUGAAUUUGUGAGGGAAAACUUUGCUUUACCUCCACGGUUAACGAAGAAUCCAAAAAAUGGAGAAAAUUGUUGAUGAAUUGAAGUCACGGGCAAAACAGACAAAACUUUCACACAACUCGUGCAGUAUAAUCCAAGUCCCAUUUAUCCAGUCGUUUGCUCAGAACUUCCCAAACAGACAGCCCUUUCUGACGAGGACGGAAGUGAAGUUGAAUAUUCUCUCUGCUCAUUUCAGAGCCAAACUCCAUUGAUAAAAACUGUUAUUUUACCUCACUGAACUCAGGAGCUGUUGGUCUACUACUGCUGUGAUUAGUUAAUAAAUUUGUGCUUUUGUGAGACUUUGGAGUUUUAAAUGGGUAUUUUGGAUUCACCAGAGUCACACAAUUACACAAACAAACGACCAAUCCAGGCAGUAGCAGAGCAGCACCUCCUGUGUUCAGUGAGGUAAAAUUACUGUUUUUGUUAAUGGAGCCUGGCUUUGAAAAAAGCAUAAAUACAUUUCAAUUUUAGUUCAAUUCCCUGUCAGAAAGGAUUGUUUCUUUGGGAGGUACUGAACAUGUGACUGGAUAAAUGAGACAUGGCUUAUGCACGAGUUGUGUAAGAGUUUGUAAACAGAUGUUUUGAUGUAGUUUUGCUGCUGUGAAACAUGGUCGCCUAUGACUUUGAUUCAUCAGGAUUUUUUUCCAGUUUUGGAUUCUUCGUUCACCAGAGGCACGCAAGGAACACAACAUUUUGUCCACAAAUUCUGUCAUUUGGAGGAGAGUAUUCCUUUAAAAUGAAUAUGAAUGGUUUUCGAAUCAUAUCACAAACCCAAUGGUGCAGAGGCAGAGAGAGACUGGCCUUUAAAAGGACAAUCCCUGGGUUAAGCCCCUUGCAUUCAUCCUGCUGAAGUGUCCUUGAGCACAACACUGAAUCCCCUCCUUCUUCAUGUGCCAGUCUGCUGAGCCUGUCUCUGUGGAGAACCUAAAACACACCAAUCAUUUUAAAAUGGAGAACAGGAGUUCUUAGAAAAACAGAAAAUGUUAUUUACAUUAAAUGUGGCCUUAAUAAAACAGAGCAGGGAAUUGCGUCCCUCUCGUACCUGAUCAACUUCAACCACUAUUUAUGAGUGAGUAUUUUUAUUAUUGAAUGUUAUUAGUGUGAAGUUUUUUCAUGUUUAUGUGUGAUUUUGCUUUGCUCAGCAGCUCACCCAGGCUGCAUUUCUGAUUGUAAUUUUAUCUCUUUCAGUAUUUGAUACAGUAUUAUUUGUUUGCGUUCAGAUGAAGAAUAAUGUGACAAUAUUUUAUUGUGUGAUUUGAUUGUGUUAAAUUGUUUGUGUAAUAAAAGUGUUAAAGGAAUACUGA